CCUGGUAUGUUCCUACCAGUCUCUACGUGGGCGUGCUUGCUACGCGCUGUGUAGUCGGUGCGAAGCCCCACGGACAAUGUACCGAUCGGUUCAAAUGGUAACAGGCGAACCAUUCGAAGAAUCCUAACUUCGAUAAGGGC
rfam:Candidatus Magnetomorum sp. HK-1 HK1c1592, whole genome shotgun sequence.